rnacentral:siRNA from 1 species
CGCUAUGGCUCUCAAGGGAACUC